AGUGAACGCUGGCGGUAGGCCUAACACAUGCAAGUCGAACGGCAGCACAGGAGAGCUUGCUCUCUGGGUGGCGAGUGGCGGACGGGUGAGGAAUACAUCGGAAUCUACUUUUUCGUGGGGGAUAACGUAGGGAAACUUACGCUAAUACCGCAUACGACCUACGGGUGAAAGCAGGGGACCUUCGGGCCUUGCGCGAUUGAAUGAGCCGAUGUCGGAUUAGCUAGUUGGCGGGGUAAAGGCCCACCAAGGCGACGAUCCGUAGCUGGUCUGAGAGGAUGAUCAGCCACACUGGAACUGGGGCACGGUCCAGACUCCUACGGGAGGCAGCAGUGGGGAAUAUUGGACAAUGGGCGCAAGCCUGAUCCAGCCAUACCGCGUGGGUGAAGAAGGCCUUCGGGUUGUAAAGCCCUUUUGUUGGGAAAGAAAUCCAGCUGGUUAAUACCCGGUUGGGAUGACGGUACCCAAAGAAUAAGCACCGGCUAACUUCGUGCCAGCCGCCGCGGUAA
rnacentral:rRNA from 1 species